ACAGUACAACCUGAUCAGGCGAUUAACCUCCUUGGUUUAUGCAGCCGGGCCCCUUGGGCAGCAGAUGUUCCUGGCAUCUGCGGGACAG
rnacentral:ncRNA from 1 species